rnacentral:rRNA from 1 species
ACGAACGCUGGCGGCGUGCUUAACACAUGCAAGUCGAACGAUGAAGCCUAGCUUGCUGGGUGGAUUAGUGGCGAACGGGUGAGUAACACGUGAGUAACCUGCCCCUUACUCUGGGAUAAGCGCUGGAAACGGCGUCUAAUACUGGAUAUUACCUUUCAUCGCAUGGUGUUUGGUGGUAAGAUUUUUCGGUUUGGGAUGGACUCGCGGCCUAUCAGCUUGAUGGUGAGGUAGUGGCUCACCAUGGCGACGACGGGUAGCCGGCCUGAGAGGGUGACCGGCCACACUGGGACUGAGACACGGCCCAGACUCCUACGGGAGGCAGCAGUGGGGAAUAUUGCACAAUGGGCGCAAGCCUGAUGCAGCAACGCCGCGUGAGGGAUGACGGCCUUCGGGUUGUAAACCUCUUUUAGUAGGGAAGAAGCGUAAGUGACGGUACCUACAGAAAAAGCACCGGCUAACUACGUG